CUGUUUUGUGUUAACUUGUUAAACGCCACAAUAGGCUCACCAGCCAGAGAUUAGAUUGCAGUGUAUGGAUAAAGUCGACACAUCCCUGUUCAAAUGCCAUAUUUUUGUGAUAGUAAUUUAUACCAAGAUGUUCCUUGAUCCUACCCCAACUAUCUUUGGGCAGAAGCCAGGGUACACCCUGAACUGGUUGCCAGCCAAUUGCAGGGCACGUAGAAACAAACACGCACACAUGGGAAAUUUAGAAUCUUCCAUUAACAUACCAUGCAUCUUUUUCAGAUGAGGAGAAAACCCAUGCAGGGAGAACAUGCAAACUCCAUACAGCGGGGGUCGGAAUUGGAACCGCGGUCCUCAGAACUGGGAGGCAGACGCUCCAACAGGUCGUCUCCCGUGUCACCUGACAGUCUAGAGUACAACUGAAAUAAUCUUGUUUGAAUUUAAUCUGAGACAAUGUUGAUUGUGCAAGUGGAGCAUAUGCUACUUAGGUGCGAGAAAAGCUAGUAUAAGUUAACAACAGAUGUGCAGAAGGUCCAGCAUGGUGAGACUACUACAGUGAGUGCACAAGUUACAGUAUGUAUGAUAUAUCAGAAUCAGAAUCAGCUUUAAUGGCCAAGUAUGUAAGCAGUUUGUGUGUGUAUAUAUAUCGGACCAGCAGGAUGUGGGAGAGUGUCCUAACAUGGCACAAGGCAGAAAAAUAGUAGGUUCGCUGAUCAAGAAUUUAAUGACUUAAUUGUGAGAGGGGGAAAAACUGUUCGAAUGCCUGCUACUUGUUAUUUUCAUUGUUCUAUAGCACUUUCCCGACGGAAGGAGCUGGAAGAGAUGGUUGCCAAGAUGUGGAGGAUCCAAAAGAAUCCUGCCUGAUCUGGACCUAGUUUACGUUGCGUGUAAAUCGUCGAUAGUGGGUAGAGUGGUGCCAAUAAUCCGUUCAGCUGUUUUGAUUGUUCGUUGCAGUCGUAGUUUGUCCUUUUUUGUUGCCGCCCCAAACUACACUUUGAUGGAGGUACACAGUACUGAUUGGAUGACUGCUGUUUAGAACUGUCUCAGCAGCUCUUGUGACAGCCCGUGCCUCCUCAGAAGCAGCAAGAAGUACAUCCUUUGUUGGGCUUUUUUGAGGAUGGAGUUGAUGUUCCCACUUCAGGUUCCCAAGAACUUGAAGGUCUCGAGGGUUGACACAAGACAGUUGGACAGCGUCAUGGGCAGCUGUGGUGAAAGAUGCCUCCCGAAGUCCACAGUCAUCUCUACAGUCUUUAGAGUGUUCAACGCCAGGUUGUGUUGACCACACCAAAGCUCCAGUCUCGCCACUUCGAUACAACAGGAAUAAUGAUGAAUAAUUGGCCUGGCAGAAUGUGCAAGCAAACUAGACAGAAAAAUGGAAGCAUGUUGCAGUUGAAUUGUAAAUUUGCUGUUUAAGAAUUUAAUGACGAGGGGAAGAAGCUGUUGUAAUGACUGCUAGUUUUGGUUUCACAUUGUUUGGUAGCGCCUACCUGAGGGGUAGGAGUCAGAAGAGCUGGUGACCAAGAUGUAGAGAAUCGAUAAGGAUCCUGCCUGCUCUUGUCCUAGUUUGGGUGGAGUGCAAGUUCUCGAGGCCGGUCCAUCCAACUUAAAUGGGAUGAUGAUGACGUUGUCUUCUACUGUUGAAAGACAAAUGGACUUCCAUUACAACAGUGACGACCCAAAAGAUGAAAGUAAUGUAUCGCUCCAUUAAUCCAUCCAUUAGUAAUUCCAUCUCUCUCCUUGGAACAAUAGGCCUUUUUUAAUACUUGGAUAAAAAUAUUGGAGGAGUUCAGACUGGACGGCUCGGUGGUGCAGCUGGUUCUGAGGUCCCGGGUUCAAUCCCGGACCAGCCUAUUUGCAUGUUCUCCCCAUGUCUGUGUGGGUUUUCUCUAGGCACUCCGAUUCCCUGCCACAUCCCCCCCAAAAAACAUGCAUUAGUUGGAGAAUCUAAAUUGCCCCUAGGUGCGACUGUGAGUGCAACUGUUGUCUGCCUGUCAGUUCAGGGUGUACCCUGCCUCCUGCCCGAUGACAGCUGGGAUUGGUCCAGCACUCCCAUGACCCUUGGGAUGAUAAGUGCCUCAGAAAAUGGAUGCAUAGAUGAUGGUUAUUUACUUCAUUAUGUUAAUCCAAAUACUUUUGAGUUUCUUUUUUUAAUUUCAAAUACUGUGAUGAUGUAUAAAAGCAUUUAAAUGCUAUACUAUCAUAGUAUUAUGUACAACAAUUUGAUCAGGAUGAUCGUGAAUCAUGUCUUCUGUUGGUAAAGGAGAAGUGGAGUUUAACUCCUCUUUCGGCCAUGAGGAAGCUUGUCACUACCCAAAAGGUGGGAAGAGUAUACAGUAUCUCUUGACCAAUAUCAACUGUGAGAAAAAGAAAGCACAUUAUGUUGCCAUCGGUUUAAAUAGAUUGAUGAUAAUAUUGUCUUCUGCUGCUGAAGGAGGAGUGGAGUUCUACCCCCAUUACUUCUCUUUCAGCCAUGACUAUCCUCUAAGCUACCAAUCAGGUGUAACCGUGUGUCUGCGCUACUGUUUGGACCUCGAGCCGCUGGGCCGCACCAUCUUCACCCUCAGCCCAUCCAGCCAGGUCCCCUUGAAGCACACUCCGAAGGCACCCUAUGGCUGAAGACACCCACCUAGAGCAGGAGCCUGAGCGCCGACAAGUGGUCUGUGAAGAGACACGAGGACGGACAGUGGACCAGAAUGUGCCUCGACGUGUACUCGAGCUACGGAAUCGCAAUUGUGUACAGAGGAAGUGCUGAGAGAUACUUGGCGUGGAUACCUAAAAAGUCUGUGUUCGCCGGUGUGCCUGUGAUCGCUAUGUCGGGUCCGGGUGGUCAUGUGACGGAGGUGUGGGAUUCCCCCUCAGAGGAGAAGAUCGAGCGGUACAUGACCAACCGCCACUACAGAGGCUAAGUCCUGACAUGGUCCAGCAUCAGUUACAAGGUGAUGGGGAGCUCCCGGCUGGAAGUACUCCAUCCAUGUGUCUGCCAGGAGUCACAAAAAGGGGAAAUGGACCUCCCGGGAAAAAAGAAGAUCCAGAAGAG